rnacentral:rRNA from 1 species
GGCGAGUGAAGCGGCAACAGCUCAAAUUUUAAAGCCGGCGUCCUCGACGCCCGCGUUGUAAUUUGGAGAGGCAUCUUCGGUUUGGGCGCCAGCCUAUGUUCCUUGGAACAGGACGUCACAGAGGGUGAGAAUCCCGUGCUUGGCUGGCUGUCCCUCUCCAUGUGAAGUGUCUUCGACGAGUCGAGUUGUUUGGGAAUGCAGCUCAAAAUGGGUGGUAAAUUUCAUCUAAAGCUAAAUAUUGGCGGGAGACCGAUAGCGCACAAGUAGAGUGAUCGAAAGAUGAAAAGCACUUUGAAAAUAGAGUUAAAAAGUACGUGAAAUUGUUGAAAGGGAAGCGCUUGAGACCAGACUCGGUCGGGGACGAUCAGCGGCCCUUCUGGGCCGUGCACUCGUCCUCGGUUCGGGCCAKCAUCGGUUGAGGCGGCGGGAUAAAGGCCCGGGGAAUGUGGCUCCUCUCGGGGAGUGUUAUAGCCUCGGGCGCAAUGCCGCCAGCCUCGACCGAGGACCGCGCUCUUUUGCUAGGAUGCUGGCGUAAUGGUCUUCAGCGACCCGUCUUGAAACACGGACCAAGGAGUCUAACAUCUAUGCGAGUGUUUGGGUGUCAAACCCUUGCGCGUAAUGAAAGUGAACGGAGGUGGGAACCCCUCCUCUGGGGGGGCGCACCAUCGACCGAUCCUGAUGUCUUCGGAUGGAUUUGAGUAGGAGCAUAGCUGUUGGGACCCGAAAGAUGGUGAACUAUGCCUGAAUAGGGUGAAGCCAGAGGAAACUCUGGUGGAGGCUCGCAGCGGUUCUGACGUGCAAAUCGAUCGUCAAAUUUGGGUAUAGGGGCGAAAGACUAAUCGAACCAUCUAGUAGCUGGUUCCUGCCGAAGUUYCCC